rnacentral:rRNA from 1 species
GGUGACAAACCGGGAGGAAGGUGGGGGAUGACGUCAAGUCAUCAUGGCCCUUACGGCCUGGGCUACACACGUGCUACAAUGGUCGGUACAAAAGGGUUGCCAAGCCGCGAGGUGGAGCUAAUCCCAAUAAAACCGAUCGUAGUCCGGAUCGCAGUCUGCAACUCGACUGCGUGAAGUCGGAAUCGCUAGUAAUCGUGAAUCAGAAUGUCACGGUGAAUACGUUCCCGGGCCUU